UACGGAGGGUGCAAGCGUUAUCCGGAUUACUGGGUUUAAAGGGUGCGUAGGCGGCCUGUUAAGUCAGGGGUGAAAGACGGUAGCUCAACUAUCGCAGUGCCCUUGAUACUGAUGGGCUUGAAUGUACUAGAGGUAGGCGGAAUGUGACAAGUAGCGGUGAAAUGCAUAGAUAUGUCACAGAACACCAAUUGCGAAGGCAGCUUACUAUGGUAUUAUUGACGCUGAGGCACGAAAGCGUGGGGAUCAAACAGG
rnacentral:rRNA from 1 species